rnacentral:misc_RNA from 1 species
AACGCACCUUGCGCUCCUUGGUAUUCCGAGGAGCAUGCCUGUUUGAGUGUCAUUAAAUUCUCAACCUCACCAGUCUUGUAACGAGACUGUGUAAGGCUUGGAUGUGGGGGUUUUUGCAGGCUGCCUCUGUGCGGUCUGCUCCCCUGAAAUGCAUUAGCGAGUUCACUAAGCUCCGUCUAUUGGUGUGAUAAUUAUCUACGCCGUGGAAUGGGUUUAGACUUGCUUCUAACCGUCUGCAAGGACAACUUUUGACAAUUUGACCUCAAAUCAGGUAGGACUACCCGCUGAACUUAA